AGGACUACGGAAGAUGAUAUAAUUGUAUAUCAAUCUAUGUUAUAAUUGUUUGGUUGUCAAUGGAUCUAACUAAUUUUAGAAGCAUUGAUUUAGUUGGAUGAUGAACUGACGUUAACCAAAUCAGAAUUACUUGCUAGCAAAAGAUCAGUGUAAAGAGAUCUCCGGUUUUGGAUUUUGGAGGCAAAAGGGGUUGUGCGUGUGUAUUGAAGAUUGAUAUCAUCUGUAAACCUAAAAGAUUAAGAUGAUACUAUCUGAAGAGUUGUUGCUGGUGCAGUUGUCAAUCAAUGAACGGUAUCCAAAUUUUCAACAAAGUUAAGGAACAGGUAAAGAAGACAAAGAAUGUUCUUACUGAACAUAGACUGAUAGACACGGUCAUGGUCACGAGCAUGAUCUGGAGAACAACACAUCCCCGACGACCACGAUCCAGACGAGGAAGAUGCUGAAGAUUACGACGUUGGCCAAAUUGACCAGCAAGCCACGGUGGUGCAACAGCUCAUCACAUUCAGAAUCCGAUGAAGGAGAUUAGGCGGAGAUAGUUCCUCCAGUCUCAAAGGCUUUUCCUGUCAUGGCAACUUCCCACACUAAAGUUUCUGAGCCAUUAAAGCAGUGGAACCAGUACGAGGCCGCAAUACCUCUCACGGACACGAAGCUCUGCCUCAUCCUGCAAGACCCUUAGGUGUGUCGGAACAAUAAGAAAAAGAGGUGUUCCUACGAUGACGACGUAUAACACUCCUGUGUCUUUACUCUCUCUGACAGAAGAUGUCACUAGAACGUUUGUUCCUGGUGAACAACUUAGAGUCAACAUCAAGAGAGACAGAGGAAUGUAGAAAGGGACGUUUGCUCAUGUUUUUUUGUAUCGCAGCUGGUGCAGAAGUUGCAGCAGCACAGCUCUUGCGAAGAGGAAAGGAACAUGUGAUGAUGUUCAACUAGGCUCCUGGAAGAGAGAGAAGGAAAACAAUAACAGAGGAACGAAAUUUCUUCAUGAUCAAUUGUGGGUUUCAAACAAGAAGUCAGUGCCAAUACAACAAUAAUUAAAAGAUUGGGUUGCUUCUUUUGGUUUAGUCUUUGAAGAUAAAGCCGAAUUUCAGAAAACAUUUGU